UACGGAAGGUGCAAGCGUUGUCCGGAUUGACUGGGUGUAAAGGGCGCGUAGGCGGAGAGGUGUGUCGGGAGUGAAAUCGUGCGGCUUAACCGUACAAUGGCUUUCGAAACUACCUCCCUUGAGUACAGAAGGUGUUGAUGGAAUACCUGUUGUAGCGGUGGAAUGCGUAGAUAUCAGGUAGAACACCGGAGGCGAAGGCGGUCAACUGGUCUGUAACUGACGCUGAGGCGCGAAAGUGUGGGGAUCAAACAGG
rnacentral:rRNA from 1 species